GCGGACGCCUCCACUCCGGCGGACGCCUGCAGGGGACGGCGCGGACGCUGCACCGGGAUGCCGUCGUCUGCCCCCCAACGCCCGCCGCCACCUCCAUCUCCUCAAGCACCGGCGGCAUUGGAGAUCCGCAUGCGGGAGGCCACGGUGAGGGCGAGCGUGGCAUGGCGGGGGCGACCUCCAAGCCUUGUCGAGGCUUUCUUGGAAUUCCCGGCCUGACAAGCAGGCUAUAAAACAUACUUUGGAUUUUGGAAGAAGAAGCUAGGAGGUGCCAGUGGCUGGUGCUAUGGCUUGAUUGUCACAGAGAGGGUGAUAACAUAGCAUAUGAAGUGAUCGGAGUUUGUACAGGUUUGAUGACGUGCUUUAGGGGAUUGAUUAAGCUACCUUAAGGAUUUAAGUAUUAUGCUAAUUUUAAAGAAUUUGACUGAACUGGUGAUCCUAUCAGAUUGCAUUCUUCAUAAACAUUGUUGGCUACUGGUGGUCUGUUAGUGUGCCAGUGUCAUCACUAUGGGUCGUGAAGUUGGCUUAUGAUCAGUGAAGGUCCGUGGUUUUCCAUUGGUAUACCUGAUCCGGUGAAGGUAAGUAAUACUUCCAACUUUGUGCACUAAUCACUAUUUCUGAAGUUGGGGCCACCCAGCCCAUCAUAUGAUUGGCUCUUUAUCUUGACUCUCAUGCUUAGCAUUUAAUUGCCUAUGUGGCUCACAUAAUCAGUAAUUGGACACUAGGCACCACGGUUGCUUGGCUAGCUCAUUUUUUAAUUCUGAAAUAUAUCACCAUUGGUGUUCUACAUGCAUGUGAAUACAUGGUUUGUUUGGUCUGACUUCCAGAGGGGGUAAGGGAGUGAGGCUGUAAAAUUAACCCUCUUUAGGGCUUGUAUGCAGAGGAUGAGUAACUGUAUAAAAUGGAAGGGGAACUUAAAGAUUCUGAGAUCUUUCUUUAUGUGCAAGCUAAUCAUUAUAUGAUAAAAGAGGUAACAGUAGGCUAAUUUCUUUUUGUAUGUAUAGUUCAGUGCAGAUAACAACUUGCAUUUCCAUCUGUAUAUAUGAGCCGCUGAUUCUGUAGAUUAUUUUAAUAUUUUGUAUUCCUUUAGCUGUAGCAAAAUAAGUUUUUUUUUACUCCUUUGUGCUGGUAAUAUCACCUCCUAUUUUUUUGCAUUCAAUUUGUGCAAGUGCAUCAAAUGGUUUUGCUGAAAUCGGACCUAAACCUGAUACUGACUGAUGUAGUUCAAGCUACCAUUUUGCUUACACUGGUGCAUAAUUGUUACAAUUGUUACAUACAUGACUUGUCAGGUGCUUGAUUAUCUAAGGUCUAUGUAUGGAACGGGCAUGUGCUGCAUUACCAGAAGAUGGAAUCUGUAUGCAAUGUUGCCUCAAUUCAGUGUAUUUUUUCUUUGCUGCAGUGCUUAAAAUUUUUGGUAUGAAAGAUGUCCCUUUGGAGCUUUUCUGUUUUGAAUUAGCAAGCACUAUAAAUGAUACAUGUACUAUUAUAUUAGCAUCAUACUACUCUUGUUGACUUCUGCCUGUUGGACACUAUGGAGAGCUUUCUCGAAAUUGGAUAGUUUGGAUAGUCUCAUUCUACCAUAAAUCGGCUGCUAGGUAAACUCAUUCAACCUUGGUAGAUAACCAGAUUAAUCAAGCUAUACCUGCUGUUUUAUUGUACAGUUUGGAGUUAUAUACUUGCUGAUUGUUUAUUUUUAAGCUUGACUUUUUUUUGGGCAAACACUCUUUAGUAUUUUGAUUUUUCUGUGCUGUCCAUGCUAGGAGCAUUGUGCUAAAAUAAAAGCAAAUGCUCAUGGUUUUUGGUCUUACAAGCAAUUCAUUAUAUAUAAUUCAGAAAAUUCAUCCCUUGUUUUUGCCUUCGGGGCCUGUUAGAAGGGAGGUGAUUAUAAAAAAAUAUUUAAAUUUAAAUAUAUGCCUCUGAUAUUAUGUAAUAACUAAGGCAUAGCCUAAUCAUUGAUGCUCAUGUAACUCCAAUGUUCUUUUGCAGGUCAUGAAUUUCUUGCAACAGCCGAACAUGUCUGGGAUCUUUGACAUGUUUUUUUUUAAGAUUUCACAUGUUUUUAGAAGUGAAGCAGCUAGGAAGCUUUGGCUAUAUUCCUCAAAUAUUACUCGGUCAUUUUUCCGCAUAACACUGAUCUGCAUUAUUGUUACUAAUCCAAAAUUUGUUGACGCAGGGAGGGAAGAAGUUUCAGACCUACUUCCAGUGCUGUAUCAAGGCCUCAUGAGAAGGAGGUGCUUUCACUGCCUGUGUGAACAUUAGGUCUUGGUUUUGCUAAAUAUCCAAAAAUGUGUAAUAUAUUUACUCUGAUGGCUACUCUGUCGAUAUGUAUGAAGAACAAACCAGUUUUGUAAUUGUGAUGGGACAAAUAUGUAGAAACAAGAAAUGACCUUGCUCCACCAUUAUUCUGGCAUAUAUCUCAAACAUAAUUCUGGUGUA